UACGUAGGGUGCGAGCGUUAAUCGGAAUUACUGGGCGUAAAGGGUGCGCAGGCGGCUCCGCAUGUCGGGCGUGAAAUCCCCGGGCUUAACCUAGGAAUUGCGUCCGAAACUAUGGAGCUGGAGUGUGGCAGAGGGAGGUGGAAUUCCACGUGUAGCGGUGAAAUGCGUAGAGAUGUGGAGGAACACCGAUGGCGAAGGCAGCCUCCUGGGCCAACACUGACGCUCAUGCACGAAAGCGUGGGGAGCAAACAGG
rnacentral:rRNA from 1 species